rnacentral:lncRNA from 1 species
GGGGAGCUGGGGCUCCCUUGUUCUCCCGGUGGAGAACUUCUGGUGGUGCUUUGCCAGUUUUACUUCUCCCUGAGGGGUCUGCCUGGUGAGCCUCUGCUCCGAGCUGAUCUGAUCGAGCUCCUCCCUGAAAAUGCUGGGGAAGGGCAGGCGGCAGCAGCAGCAGCAGCACGGCCACCAUCGCCUUGCUGGACUCGCCAGGGCCGACAAGUGCUUCAUGGGCUCUCCAAAGUGGGAGCACGGCACAGGGGCCGGGAUUCAGUCCUUCCUGGUGAGAGGCACAGGCUUUGCGUGGCCCUGCACAGGGGCCGGCUCUCGGUGCCGGGCCGGGCUGGCCAUGGCCCGCUGUGCUGAGCCGGCCGGGCUGUGCCACACCCCGCUCGCUGUUCUUGCAUCACAAACGUUGCCAUAGAGCAAAGCUGCUGACGGGGUAACUCACAUCACAAAGGGGACAGCCCAGAAUUUCGGGGCACAGUCGGGCUGGGAGCCACUUUGCUUGUGAGCGGACUGAAGAGAGGAGCUUGACUGCUUAGCUCUUUCAGCACAUCGCAGGCAGCGCUGAUUUCUGGGGAAAGAGCUUCUUCCUCAGCAUGGAGGACGAUACCUUCUACCGUAUCCUCUGGAUCACGACAGUCUCAUUACUGACUGUACUUAUUCCAGCCUUCAGGAAGUGGAUGAAGGAAAGGUCCAAAACGUCCCAAACAGAGGAAGUGCCAACACGGAGCUAACCAGGCAAAUUCUAGAGUUUGGGACUUGUGCACGUCUUCACAGCACGCGAGGAUGCACUCCUCAGUGCCCAGUCAGACGGAUGACACCUAUGAAGCCAUCCAAUGUUUUUACAGAACUGUUCAAGACUCCAACAGAUGCUUGGACAGGCUCAUGUUGCAAAUGCCUGAGGGCAGCAAUGAGGGGGGCGGCAACGAGGGCACCAUCACCUGUUGUGGGGAUAUGAAGACACCUUGCCCACAACCAAAGUCCCAGGAGCGGGACCUGCCCUUGGUGGAUGAGGCUAUGAGAAGUCUCCUGGAGCAUCCUGACAUGAAAAUGCAGGCACCAGAGCACCUGCAGAAGAGCCUCUCAGAGCCUAAUCUGGGGCACAAAGACUCCCAGCUUCCACAUCCACUGAGGCAAACAAGGAGGUCCGCUCGCUUGCCCUUCCAGCGCAGGCACAUGCAGGCUCAGGCAUGGAGGUCAUCAGCAGAGGCCUUUGGCCAACGGCAAAAAUCUGCCUCCCUGAUGGACACACGCAAACAAGAAACAAUGCGUACAGUCCAUGCUGACUGCUACAGACUCUGUGAACACCCUGACAACCAGGAGAACAGGUUGAUGUAUCUAUGGCUGGAGCAGUAUGAAUACGUUGAGAGGAAGAUGCAGGACUUUUUCACACCACACUGCGUCCUGCCUAGCAAUGAAGGAUCCAAGGGUGUGUCUCCAUCUGACCCUGCUGCUCAAGAGCCAGAGGGAAGUAGAUCUGCAGUUGCAUCAAGCAGGACACAUAGGUCACAGACUCCAUCUCAGCUGUGCAGAGGCUGCUGUGUGCCACCCUUUCUGUGCUGCAGCGUUCAGCAUGUCUGGGCCAAGCUCAAAGCAGCCAGCAAGGCCCUCUGUUCCAAGAUCAGAAAGGGAAGCGAGAAGCUCUCAAGGAAGGGAAGAAAGCUCUUCAGGAAAAACAGAGCCGACAAGGCUGGACGCAAGUCAUCAUGGGAGCAGACAAUCACUGACACCUCUGGCCAAAAGGAGAAGCUCAGGUCCACCUCUGGAGGCAAUGAAGGACUUGGUGGCAUCUGAAGACAAGACUUUCAGUGGUGUCAGUGAGAUCACAGGGUGCCAGUAAGGGAUCAAGCCAGGAUGGCAGCAGCCACAGGCACCUGGAUGUACUGGAGCCUGUUGCCUGUAGAGUGACAGCCCACAUGCUGCUACCUAGCAGUGGGUUGCUCUUGGAGCCCCAAGCUCCUUCUCCAGCUCAGUCUGUUCAUCCAUCAGGUGUUCAGGCAGGCACACCUGCAGCAAGCAGAGAAUUGCCACCAGAUGCGACCAGAGGGCAAGAGCAGAAUGGCAGGGGACACACCCAGGACAGGCCAGAUCCUCCAAGAAGAACUUCCCCACAGAAAAAGCACUCCUCCACCGAGCAGAGAACCUCAGGUCUGCCAGAGCUUCCACAUCCCACUGAGAUCAAUAUUCCAGUCUCCCUCGUGCAGGAGCUUUUCACAGCUUUUAGAGAUUUGAACAUAGCCGGGCAAACUGCUAAGGAGCUGCAAAAGCAGGUGCUGGCUUCCUUUUCAAAAUAGCCCACAAACAACGUCAAGUAACAGAGAACAGAUGUGGCAGCAGAGGAACCUGGGGUCAGGACACAGACUGGAAGAGAAGGGCGAAGGGUGCAGCCAGAACAGAUCUGACCCUGGGACACUCUGCCCUGCAUGCAGCAAAGCCCCCCACUGCAGCCAGCCAGGAGCUGUAAGCUCCCAGAGAUUGGCUGCACCCGCAACUGCAGCCCCAGGUGCACAAAGAGACGCAGAGAGAAGAAUCCUUCCAUGACGACGGGGACAAGAGGCAGAAGGCCUGAAAAAUGCUCCUGCAGAUCAUCAGCCUGAGGGCCUCCUGUGCCUAAGGACAUCAACCCCUAUCAUUGCAGGAGGAAGCCCACCAGGACACACAGUCAGAGAGCAGCAGAUACCUGAAUUGUUUUUAUGAUUUUUCCUUAUUGAUAUUCCCCAUCAUGACAACACGUAGUGCUAUUGCUUCAGUCAAUAGCACUACAUAUACAUACAUAUACAUACAGAAUAAUGCAAAGUCCACUGGGAUAUGUAGUUUGUAGGACUUUGCAUUAUUCUGUUUCCAUCUUUCAUUCUGAAGCAAAGAUAAAACUGUUCACAUAUCACAAGACGUUCUCUCUUUUCCUUUCUUCUUGCCCUGGCUAGACUUCUCACCUUAGAAGUGGCAUUAGCCUCACUCUAAUGCCACUUCUAAGGUGAGAAGUCUAGCCAGGAUUUUUGGAUUCUCUGUCAUUUUAUUUGACUUAAUUAUUUUAAUUUUUUAUUAUUAUUAUUUCUUUAACUUUAAUUAUUUCAAAAUAAAAUAAAAUAAUUUCUCCCCA